CAGGAGAUUGUGUAGGAUACUGUUUUCUUUGUUAAUGUCCUAUAAUGCUUAAAUGUUGAGGUAGAGUUAUUAGUAUACUUACACUUUUUCCUACUGUAAGGGCGGGAACUUUUUUUUUUUAAGCAUUUCCAGUUUUCUUAGCUCCUGAAUGUAUGCUUCCAAAAAGUGGCACUUAAGCAACUUGAAUGGUUUUUGUUGUCUCAUU